rnacentral:rRNA from 1 species
UACGGAGGGUGCGAGCGUUGUCCGGAAUCACUGGGCGUAAAGGGCGCGUAGGCGGCCUGAUAAGUAGGGGGUGAAAUCCUGCGGCUUAACCGCAGGGCUGCCUUCUAGACUGUCAGGCUCGAGCACAGUAGAGGCAGGUGGAAUUCCCGGUGUAGCGGUGGAAUGCGUAGAGAUCCGGAGGAAGACCGGUGGCGAAGGCGGUCUGCUGGGCAGUUUCUGACACUGAUGCGCGACAGCGUGGGGAGCAAACAGG